CAGUGCAGACAAAUUGAAUAC
rnacentral:miRNA from 10 species